CGCGGGAUAGAGCAGCCCGGUAGCUCGUCAGGCUCAUAACCUGAAGUUUCACAGGUUCAAAUCCUGUCCGCGCAACCA
rnacentral:tRNA from 2 species